AUUGAACGCUGGCGGCAUGCCUUACACAUGCAAGUCGAACGGUAACAGGUCUUCGGAUGCUGACGAGUGGCGAACGGGUGAGUAAUGCAUCGGAACGUGCCCAGUAGUGGGGGAUAGCCCGGCGAAGGCCGGAUUAAUACCGCAUACGACCUGAGGGUGUAAGGGGGGGAUCGCAAGACCUCUCGCUAUUGGAGCGGCCGAUGUCAGAUUAGCUAGUUGGUGGGGUAAAGGCCUACCAAGGCAACGAUCUGUAGUUGGUCUGAGAGGACGACCAGCCACACUGGGACGGAGACACGGCCCAGACUCCUACGGGAGGCAGCAGUGGGGAAUUUUGGACAAUGGGCGCAAGCCUGAUCCAGCAAUGCCGCGUGCAGGAAGAAGGCCUUCGGGUUGUAAACUGCUUUUGUCAGGGAAGAAAUCUUCUGGGUUAAUACCUCGGGAGGAUGACGGUACCUGAAGAAUAAGCACCGGCUAACUACGUGCCAGCCGCCGCGGUAACAC
rnacentral:rRNA from 1 species